rnacentral:rRNA from 1 species
CCUACGGGUGGCAGCAGUGAGGAAUAUUGGUCAAUGGACGCAAGUCUGAACCAGCCAUGCCGCGUGCAGGAAGACGGCUCUAUGAGUUGUAAACUGCUUUUGUACGAGGGUAAAUCCCGAUACGUUUAUCGGGUUGAAAGUAUCGUACGAAUAAGGAUCGGCUAACUCCGUGCCAGCAGCCGCGGUAAUACGGAGGAUUCAAGCGUUAUCCGGAUUGAUGGUGGUUAAAGGGUGCGUAGGCGGAGUGUCAAGUCAGCGGUAAAAUUUCGGGGCUCAACCCCGUCGUGCCGUUGAAACUGACGGCCGUGAGUGAGUGAGAAGUAAGCGGAAUGCGUGGUGUAGCGGUGAAAUGCAUAGAUAUCACGCAGAACGCCGAUUGCGAAGGCAGCUUACCGGCGCUCAACUGACGCUGAGGCACGAAAGUGCGGGUAUCGAACAGGAUUAGAUACCCUUGUAGUC